UUUAUUUCUUUAUCUGAUUCGUUUUCUUAUCCUGUGACUAUCAAUCCGGUUUGGGUGGUUACUUUCUUUUUAUUACAAUUCAAUACCAUCUUUCUAAUACGCAUAGGCAUUUACAAAUCGGAACAUAUCACUACUUGAAAGUUCAGGAAAAGCAUCCAUUUAAAUAUUUACAUCUUGUGUCAAGGUUACACAGAAACAUGACAACUAUGUCAAUGGAUAUAACAAAAGUUAAAGAGGAGCCCGGGGAAGAGAGUGAGAGCAAGGAAGCCAUACAGGCUGAUUUGUAUGAAGAUCAUGUUAUCAAGAGGGAGGUGGUUGUGGGCCCGGAGGUUUUUCAACGGCCUAAUGUGGCAUUUGCAUGUAAAGCUAAAGAAAAUGUCAAAAACUGUGAAGAAAAUAUCAAAAGGGAACGGCACAUGCACACCACACUCAAGGUUGAAAAGAAGGAAGAAAUUACAGAUAAUGACAGUCAAAAUAACUCGAUGACCUUUGAUGAUGAUUUAAAAUCUAAGUUAAAAGAAGCUGAGAGUAAUGAUAAAAGUCCCAUUAAAACUAAUGUAGUAAAACCUAUAAAUAAAACCUUGUCAGAAGAGAAACAUUUUACAUGCAAAAAGUGUAAAUCUAUGUUUUCUAGCAAAUUGCUUCUUUUGAAGCAUAGGAAAUCCAAACAUGGUUAUGCAUAUUACAAAUGCAAGAAAUGUAAAUACGCCGCUGGUCGCAAAGCACAUUUUGAAAAUCAUUUGCGUACACAUACUAGAGAAAAACCAUUUAAAUGCCACUGGUGUGAAUAUAAGUGUAGCCGGAAAGACGCUUUGAUGGUACAUGAAAAGAUACACAAUGAAGACAGGGAGAAACGUUAUCAAUGCGAACAAUGCAGUUUCAAAUCUGACAGUAAAGGAACCAUAGUUCGCCACGAAAUGGUACACAGUGGGGAAAAACCAUACAAGUGUCGCCACUGUUCAUACGCCUGUAGAGGCAAAGUUGACUUGCGAAGACAUGAAGGAACACAUAGACCUGAGAAUUCAUUCAAAUGUGGGAUAUGCGAUUAUACAUGUACGCGAAAAAGUGACUUAGGUCGACACAAAAGAUCACAUGCACCAAGACCAUUCAAUUGUACAGAAUGCACUUUUAAAUGUAGUCGAAAAAAGGUAUGGUUGCGCCAUCAACAAAUGCAUAUCGAAAAUACUUUCCAAUGCAACGACUGCAACUUCAUAUGCAGAAUGAAAAGCCGGUUUCUCUUGCAUCUAAUAGAACACCGUAGUGAAAAACCAUAUAAA